AAGGAUUUAAGUUAAAAGAAACUCCCAACCUUCAAAGUUGGAAUUAGAGAGGCUCUCUAAGCCUUG
rnacentral:tRNA from 1 species